GUAUGUUUGAAAGUUUGCAUCAUGACAGGGAAAAAGAAAAAAAAAGAAGACUUCUUUAACAGUUACUAGUCUUUUCAAAUAAAGAGAUAAUUCUAAUGACCAGAUUGGAAGUCUAAAUCAAACGUAUCACAUUAAGGAAUGUACCUUCAAGUUUGUUGUUAAAUUUUAAGUUGGUAAGCCUGACUUGCAGGCCAUUGAGGAUCAGAAUAAAAUGUGAUUUACUAAAGGAAUUGAAUGACAGCUUAUGGUCUGCAUUCAUUGCCACUGGAUAAUUUUUUUAAGACUUUAUUUUUUAGAGUCGUUCUAGGUUCAGAGCAAAAUCAAACGGAAGGUACAGAGAUUUCUCGUCUCUCCCCUGUCUGCACACUUGCAUAGUCUACCCUAUUAUCAAUAUUCCCCACCAGAGUGGUGCACUUAUUAAACUGAUAAAUUGUAUGUUGACCCGUCAUUGUCACCCUAAAUUGGUAGUGUACACUAGGGUUCACUCUCAGUCUUGUAUAUUCUGUGGCUUUGAGUAAAUGUGUAUGACAUAUAUCCACCAUUAUGAUAUAUACAGAAUACUUUCACCUCACUAGAGAAUUCUUGCUACUUCUUUGCUCCUGUUGAAUGAGGAGGUGACUCUGGUAGCCAUGUGUGGUUCCUUUGAACCUCAUGAGUGUGAUUCCCUAUAGGUAGAGCCAACGAGGAAGACUGAGGCCAGACCUCUCAUCUCACAGGGUACCUAGCUGUCCUCUAUCCCCACACCUCAGACUCCUCAGGAGAGAUGUCUGUGGAGCUGUGGAAAGGUACCUUCUUUAUGCAAAUGAAGAGACUAUGUGCUUGGAUUUUCUCGAUGACGAUUCCUGAUUCGUGGCCCUGGCAGUCUUGGGGAAGCGUUGUCGAGUUUCUUCAAUCCAGACCUUGGGGCCUCCUUUUUCUCCACAUCACUCCCACCCAGUUGAUCGAACCACUUUCUAGGACAUAUUUAGAGAGACAGUGGAGAUUGUUGGGCAUGAUUCUGAGAACCUGAGAUUGGCAGACAACAAAGACAUUCCUUCAGGAAGGAUGUGCUGCCCAGCUGCAUGGAAUGAGGCCAUCAGGCAACCUCCAGCUAUCAGCUCCUCCAGCACCUGCCUCAGCUGCAGAGACCACCUUGUCCAGUUCAUGUCCUCCCUGGCAAGUCUCAUCUGGUGACAGAAGCAAUCAAGCAGGCAUAGAAAGGCCAGGCCAUUUAGACCCAACGCAGCACAAACUGGAUGGACAAUAUUCACACUAGAGCUCCCUACUAGUAUGGAGCCCACCAUACAGUUCAACUUCUUUCCCUGGUCAAUCCUGCUCCUUUCUCUUCUCUUUGGUCUCUUUAAAAUUAUGGACCCUAACCUGUAUCUCUGCAUCUUCCUCCAGAAAACCCCAUCUGUAACAGGAAACUAAAUGACACCUAGGAUUAUAGAAGGCCUGUUUUAUUUUAUUUUUUUUAAUUUUUAUUUAUUUAUGAUAGUCACAGAGAGAGAGAGAGAGAGAGAGAGAGGCAGAGACACAGGGGGAGGAAGAAGCAGGCUCCAUGCANUUAAAAUCAUGGACCCUAACCUAUAUCUCUGCAUCUUUCUCCAGAAAACCCCACCUGUAACUAUAAACACCUAGGAUUAUAGAAGGCCUGUUUUAGAAGUAUGUAUAUCUCCCUAUUGUUCUUUCUACCAAAAAGACAAUACAAAUUAAGUAAAGCCUCACCUACAUAUCCUGUCCUAUCUCCCACUCUUAUCCCUAAGACAGAGAAAGACAUGCACAGAGUUGGAUAUUCCUCCUUAGGAAUAUAUACUUUAGUGAGUGUUCAAAUGUUAGGUUUUUUUCUCUUUUUGCACCGCAGCUUGAUUUCUGCUAAAACGCAAUCUCCCCGUUUUGUUCGAGAAUGAAUUCAAAUAACCAGCUCAAAUCAUUAUCUGAGUCAGAAAGGUAUGUAUCAUAAUAAUCUCAAUGUGUGGCAAGUGGGAAAUGUUCUUGGAAUAUUCCUAGACACCCCAUUCUGAGGAGGAAGG
rnacentral:lncRNA from 1 species